AAACUUAUGGGUAUUUGAAACAAGCAUCUUGAAUAUUUCAUAAACUUAUGAGUAUUCGUAAAAAGAUCAGGAUCUCCAACAUCCUACAAAAUUAUGGGAUAUUCAUAAAGAGAUCAUCCUAUGUUGAGAUCAUCAUAAAGACAUUGAAAUUAUGGGAUAUUCGAGAAAUACUCCAUUAACCACCCUCGAAUUACGGAGAAAUUCAUAUCCAAAUCUUCCUACAUUCGAGAAAUACGUCACUAACGGCCGUCGAAUUAAAGAGGAAAUCAAGAGAGAAGAAUCAACGAGGAACAAAUUUGUACCCACA
rnacentral:lncRNA from 1 species